rnacentral:rRNA from 1 species
GUAGUCCACGCUGUAAACGAUGAGUGCUAGGUGUCGGCGUAAGUCGGUGCCGCAGUUAACACAAUAAGCACUCCGCCUGGGGAGUACGUGCGCAAGCAUGAAACUCAAAGGAAUUGACGGGGACCCGCACAAGCAGCGGAGCAUGUGGUUUAAUUCGAAGCAACGCGAAGAACCUUACCAGGGCUUGACAUACUGAGGACAUAUUUAGAGAUAAAUACUCCUCUUCGGAGGCCUCAAUACAGGUGGUGCAUGGUUGUCGUCAGCUCGUGUCGUGAGAUGUUGGGUUAAGUCCCGCAACGAGCGCAACCCUUAUCUUUAGUUGCCAGCAUUUCGGAUGGGAACUCUAAAGAGACUGCCGAUGAUAAAUCGGA